rnacentral:rRNA from 1 species
UACGUAGGGUGCGAGCGUUGUCCGGAAUUAUUGGGCGUAAAGAGCUUGUAGGUGGUUUGUCGCGUCUGCUGUGAAAAUCCGAGGCUCAACCUCGGACUUGCAGUGGGUACGGGCAGACUAGAGUGUGGUAGGGGAGACUGGAAUUCCUGGUGUAGCGGUGGAAUGCGCAGAUAUCAGGAGGAACACCGAUGGCGAAGGCAGGUCUCUGGGCCAUUACUGACACUGAG